rnacentral:ribozyme from 2 species
ACAUCAACUCCGCCUGUAUCCCCUCUGGGGGCUACUGCCGGUCCCAAGCCCAGAUAAAGGAGGAGGGUUGG